rnacentral:tRNA from 1 species
AAGCCUGGGGGGCCGCAUAAGCCCAAAAUCCAACUUGCAAUCAGAUAUAAACCCAUGGC